rnacentral:rRNA from 1 species
UACGUAGGGGGCAAGCGUUGUCCGGAUUUAUUGGGCGUAAAGCGCGCGCAGGCGGUCUAUUAAGUCUGAUGUGAAAGCCCACGGCUCAACCGUGGAGGGCCAUUGGAAACUGGUAGGCUUGAGUGCAGGAGAGGUGAGUGGAAUUCCCAGUGUAGAGGUGAAAUUCGUAGAUAUUGGGAAGAACACCAGUGGCGAAGGCGGCUCACUGGCCCGUAACUGACGCUGAGGUGCGAAAGCGUGGGGAGCAAACAGG